GGCAGAAGCUGCGGCGGGAGGUAACGGCGCCGUGGGCGCGGGGAAGACCCGGGAGGGCAGUGGGUGAGGAGGUCGGUUGAGUGGCCCCCUCCCCUGCCUUUCUCUCCGUAGCCGCCGGGAUCCUCCUGAGGUACCUGCAGGAGCAGAACCGGCCCUACAGCUCCCAGGAUGUGUUCGGGAACCUACAGCGGGAACACGGACUGGGCAAGGCGGUGGUGGUGAAGACGCUGGAGCAGCUGGCGCAACAAGGCAAGAUCAAAGAGAAGAUGUACGGCAAGCAGAAGAUCUAUUUUGCGGAUCAGGUGAGGAGAACUUGCGCCGAUUGUCACCCAUGAGAGCCCGACAACGGGUGAAUCUACUCCUGGUGUGAACUCUUUGGGGACAAGGCCCCCCAUGGAAAACUCACCUGUCUUAGGCCACCAUCCUUAAAUCAAGGUGUGUACUCCUCUUGUUAGGAUCCCAACUUCACGAGGUUUCCAGAUUUACAAUAUGAUGGAUGACAGAAGAUUCUGUAUUGUUGCUACCAAGAUCCAUUUCCGCUCCAAAGCUCUUAUUCCUUAUCAUCUACAUUAGCAACACCCUCUGCCAAAUGAUGUUCCUCCUGCCUCCAUCCGAUUCUCUAAACACACAUAUCAAAUUUAUAUUCUCCAGCCCAGACCUCCAGCUGGAAUCUGUCAGGCAUUAAUAUCAGAGUCAAAAUUGCCACAGUAGAAUGCCUCAUCUUCCCCCCACCCCGGACUGGUUUCUUUCUAACAUUCUCCUCCCCUAAUGGAAUUACUCUUCACCCAAACCAGAAAUUGGGAGCAAUUCUUGACUUCCUUUACUAGUCAACCAUCAA
rnacentral:lncRNA from 1 species